UUCUCCCUGUCACCAAAGAAUUAAAGACAACAUCUCGGACGGUCUCUGUACAUGGAGAAAUGAGAAUGUAUUCGCAGACAAAGCGUGACCUGAGGGAGAAGCCUGCCGGAAUCUGGAUUUUCAAUAACAUAAGACAAUAAAGCUUAGACUUCUAACCUGCUGCAAUAUGGUACUGCUUUAUUCCUCUGGCUGCACCUCAGAAGAGCCCACCCCUCUCAUGUGGGACACAUCUCUGCAGAAGUUUUCAUUUCUGGUGUGUCCCCAGUGGGGAGAGGCAAGUGUGGGAUGCUGGAUGCCCUGGGACAGAACUGUAGACUCUGCUAGGCACCUUCCUUCUCUGGGAAGCCUGCCCUGGUCCAUGUGGAGGACGACAAAGGAAAGCACACACUGAGGUCCCUAGAAGAGAGCCUUCCUCCAUCACUCGGUGACAGGGAGUGGAACCGAUUAGCCCAUUCUGAGGCUGCCUGCGUGCCGGCCCAUCUUUGAUCCUCACAGCACUUUGCAAGCCUGGCGGUGAGCUCCUGUUCACAGAGGGCAGCACCAGGGGGCAGGGAGCAAGGCCGUUUGCUGGCA